rnacentral:rRNA from 1 species
CCUACGGGAGGCAGCAGUGGGGAAUAUUGCACAAUGGGGGAAACCCUGAUGCAGCGACGCCGCGUGAGUGAGGAAGGAUUUCGGUAUGUAAAGCUCUAUCUGUAGGGAAGAAAAUGACGGUACCUGACUAAGAAGCCCCGGCUAACUACGUGCCAGCAGCCGCGGUAAUACGUAGGGGGCAAGCGUUAUCCGGAUUUACUGGGUGUAAAGGGAGCGUAGACGGGUAAUGAAGUUAGAAGUGAAAACCAAGGGCUCAACCUUGGGGCUGGUUUUGAAACUGAGUGGCUAGAGUGCAGGAGAGGUAGGCGGAAUUCCUAGUGUAGCGGUGAAAGGCGUAGAUAGUAGGAGGAACACCAGUGGCGAAGGCGGCUUACUGGGCUGUAACUGACGUUGAGGCUCGAAAGCGUGGGGAGCAAACAGGAUUAGAUACCCGUGUAGUC